rnacentral:rRNA from 1 species
UACGUAGGGUGCGAGCGUUAAUCGGAAUUACUGGGCGUAAAGCGUGCGCAGGCGGUUUUGUAAGCCAGAUGUGAAAGCCCCGGGCUUAACCUGGGAAUGGCAUUUGGGACUGCAAGGCUUGAGUGCGGCAGAGGAGACUGGAAUUCCUGGUGUAGCAGUGAAAUGCGUAGAUAUCAGGAGGAAUACCGAUGGCGAAGGCAGGUCUCUGGGCUGACACUGUCGCUCAUGCACGAAAGCGUGGGGAGCAAACAGG